rnacentral:misc_RNA from 1 species
GAUGAAGAACGCAGCGAAAUGCGAUAAGUAAUGCGAAUUGCAGAAUUCCAGUGAGUCAUCGAAUCUUUGAACGCACAUUGCGCCCUUUGGUAUUCCGAAGGGCAUGCCUGUUCGAGCGUCAUUGCUGCCCUCAAGCACGGCUUGUGUGUUGGGCCCCGUCCUCCGAUCCCGGGGGACGGGCCCGAAAGGCAGCGGCGGCACCGCGUCCGGUCCUCGAGCGUAUGGGGCUUUGUCACCCGCUCUGUAGGCCCGGCCGGCGCUUGCCGAUCAACCCAAAUUUUUAUCCAGGUUGACCUCGGAUCAGGUAGGGAUACCCGCUGAACUUAAGCAUAUCAAUAAGCGGAGGA